rnacentral:rRNA from 1 species
CGCUUCUUGCCCCCUAUAAGAAGUACUGCCUGCCCAGUGACACUCCUGUUAAACGGCCGCGGUACCCUGACCGUGCAAAGGUAGCAUAAUCAUUUGCCCUAUAAUUGAGGGCUUGUAUGAAAGGCAAGACGAGGGCGCCCCUGUCUCAAAGGUAAACAUAAAAUUGUGUUUCAGGUGAAGACACCUGAAUUUUUAUAUAGGACAAGAAGACCCUAUAGAGCUCCGCCUUAUUACUCAAUACAUUUAUAUAAUUUAACUCUUUAUUGUUUAAAAGGCUUGGUUGGGGCGACCAAGGAACAUAGCUUCCUCUUUUAAUUUAUGCCCACACGCAAAUAAAAUGACCCGCUAUUAGCGCUCAACGAACUAAGCUACCUUAGGGAUAACAGCGUAAUCUUCUCUAAGAGUUCACAUCUACGAGAAGGGUUGCGACCUCGAUGUUGGACUAGGGGACCAAAAGGUGCAGCAGCUUUUUAAGGCGGGUCUGUUCGACCCUUAAACC